UAUUUGUCUUCUCCCUUUUUUUCCCGCUCUUUUCUAUUUUCCUUUUACUUCUCUUUUUUCGUUUUUCCAAUUUCGGCCAGAAGUACAAAGGAAAAUAGAGGGAGGAAA
rnacentral:ribozyme from 1 species